CAGCCCCCGGCCCGCGCCGCCCGGACGGGUGGAGAGGCCUGGCCGCUUCUCAUUGAAGAAUUUCCAUCGUCGUCAUGGUGCAAGCCUGAGGUUAUGCAGUGACAGUCAUAUUAGCUUGUGACAGCCAGCAGAUAUCCACGUGUAUUUUGGGGCAUGUUGAACUGCUUAAACCUGACCUGCAUGUGACUGCAAAAAUGCACCUGAGAGCUACUGAUUUAUGGAAGUGACUGAAGAACUACUUCCCUUCUAAUACAACAGGCAACCACAGCUCUGGAGAUACAUGCUCUGAGGAAACAUCCCCAAAUAGUGUGAAAAGAGGUGGAUAGUACAACAGCUGCAACUUCAAUUACCUGUGAGGACAUAAUUCUAGAUGCACGCUGUCUUCAGAAUGAAAAAUAUAACCCAUGUCUUGUGCUCCAACCAACCCUGGAUUUAACAUGAUGAGAAAACUAAAAAAUCUGCAAGCUGAUAUUUCUUUUCCUGAGAUAAUAUUCAGCUCUGGAAAAGUGAAGAAAACAAUGAAGUUUUCUCAGUCUAAUAUUUCUGCUCAUUAAUGGAAGAAAGUGAAAUCUGGAAAGAAACAAAGAAUGAAAUCAAAACCUAUCCUUUAUCCGGUCUGGGGCUGUUAUCUAACUGUUGUUCAUAAGACAGCGUGGUUUUCAUUAAUGAGCUACUCUUUCAAGCUCAGUGUUUACAGAUCACUACAGUACCACAGAAACUUUCCGUAUUAAAUACACAAUUCUGACUCAUUCCAAGACUCUUCCCAACUGUGCUCAUCAAUGCAUUCUAUGGCAGAGUUCCUUUUGAACUAGCUCAGUACACAGAUGUUAUUACAACAUACAUGAAUGUGAUUACAGUAACAAUUAAUUGAAAUUUGCAUCAAAUGCAAUCUUUUUAAUUGAUCGUAUCCAAUUUG
rnacentral:lncRNA from 1 species